rnacentral:rRNA from 1 species
AACGAACGCUGGCGGCAUGCUUAACACAUGCAAGUCGAACGAGACCUUCGGGUUUAGUGUCGCACCGGUGCGUAAAGCGUGGGAACCUGUCCCUAAGUUUGCCCUAUCUCCCCGAAAGACUUGCUAAUACCGUAUAUUGUCCCCCAUCCAAAGAUUUGUCGCCUUUGGAUGGGCGCGCGUUGGAUUAGCUAGUUGGUAGGGUAAAAGCCUACCAAUGCGACGAUCGAUAGCUGGUCUGAGAGGAUGAUCAGCCACACUGGGUCUGAGACACGGCCCAGACUCCUACGGGAGGCAGCAGUGGGGAAUAUUGGACAAUGGGCGAAAGGAUGAUCCAGCAAUGCCGCGUGAGUGAUGAAGGCAUUAGGGUUGUAAAGCUCUUUUACCCGGGAUGAUAAUGACGGUACCGGGAGAAUAAGCACCGGCUAACUACGUG